UGCCCAGUGACCCAUCCUGACCUUCCCAUCUCCAACUCCUCGUUCCCCUUUCAGUUCCCCUCCAGGCUCCGUCCUUGGCACGAGGCUGCGGGGGCUCAGCCUGGGGGUGGCCUCGUGCUCUUCCUUCUCCCAGGAACCCUUCCAUGAGCCCCCCAUGAGCCUUCAAACAGCCCCAGCCCUGAUGGGCUUCCUUCUCCGGGUGCAGCAACUUCAUCCCACCUUGAUCCCACCUUGGUCUCACCUUCAUCCCACCUUGAUCCCAACUCCAUCCCACCUUUUCAUCCCACCUUCAUCCUACAUUCCCCCCACCUCCAUCCCACCCCAUCCCAAGUUCCCUCCCCACUUUCUCUCCCCAGUGAGCGUCAGCGACACCAAGGAGGAGAUCCGGGUCCUGGGCGGCUCCGUGACCUUCCAGAGCCACAACAGGGACACAAAACCCGCACUCUGGAGUUUUGGGGAUGAUCCCAUAGUGACUGUGGCAUUUGAGGAUCCUACUCGACCCAUAUUUCAUAAGGACGAAUUCAAAACCCGUUUUGCUGUCUCCAAGAAAGGCCGCGCGCUCAGCAUCUCCCCGCUGAGGAUGGAGGAUGCCGGGACCUACUUUGUAACCAUUGAUGGGAAAAAGUCCAGCUUCACCCUCCAGGUGUUCAGGGAGCUGGCAGAGCCCACGGUGACCUGCGAGGCCCGGAACUGCUCGGGCAGGAGCUGCAGCUUCUCCCUGCGCUGCUCCGCGCCCGGCGCCGGCUUCGGGAACGUCUCCUACACCUGGAGGGUGCGGGAUCAGCUGUGGGGUGAGGGCUCCGUGGUGCCGUGGGCCAAUGAAUCGGCCUGGGAUGGGCCGGAGCCGCUGACGUGCACGGCACGGAACCCCGUCAGCAGCAGGAACGUCACCGUCACCACGCCAGAGGUGCUCUGCAACGGCGCCCUCUCCAGCAGCCAGGUCGGGGUCGAGGUCGGGGUCAGGGUCAUAGCCGGGGCUGUAGUCUUGGUGCUUUUAUUGAUUUCUGUCUUGUUCUUCUGGAGAUCCAAAGGCUGGAGGAAAUUCCAUCUCUCCAAAUCCAAGCCUGCGGACACAGCGGCCACAGCCGAGUACACGACCGUGUACGCCGAGGUGGGCUCCUCCCAGCCGCGCGUCCCUGACGGAACGAAAGCCAAACCAGCGGAUGAGGGAUCCCCCACAACCAUUUAUUCCGUGGUCAAUCUUCCGGACCGGGCAGGGAUGGCAGAAAAUGCCACCAUGACUGGCCUAAAGCUGGUCUAGAACCUAGGACUGGCCUAGAAGGACCUAGGACUGGACCAGAAGGACCUAGGACUGGUUUGAAAGACAUGAGAUUGGUUUGAAGGACAUGAGACAGGUUUGAAGGACAUGAAACUGGUUUGAAGGACAUGAAACUGGUUUGAAGGACAUGAAACUGGUUCUGAACAGGUUUCAGAAUAUGAAACAUGGAAGUGAUUUAAAACUCUGGAGCUAUUUUAAUGAGUCCGGACCUGGUUUGCAAGGAACCGGAACUGGUUUAGAAGAAGCUGAAACUGGUUUCAAAGACCCAGAACUGGUUUAAAAGACCUGGAACUGGUUCAGAAGGACCUGGGACUGGUUUAAAGGGUCUCCACUCGCCGGUCAGACAGAUGGACCCCACAAGGUGACUCUGGACCAGCUCCAACACCCCCAAUCCCGCUCCGGACCCGGAUCUCACCCUCCUGGCAUCUCCCCUUCCCCUCCUCAUCGCUGCUGCCUCGGUUUCCCUCUCAGCACCCUCAGUUUGGGAUUUCAGGGAGGAUUUUUGGGAUGUCUCUCCGUGGUUUUGGGAUUCAGGCUCCUUUUGCCACCUUCUCCCACCAGGAUCCUGGACUAAAACUCUGCCAAAGCUGCAGGGACUCCCAGACAAUCUGGAGGAGACUCUUAAAAGGGUUUUUCCAUGGAAUCCCGGAAUUCCCGAGGUUGGAAAAGCCCUCCAGGACCACCAGUUCCAGCCUGGGACCAAUCCUGGUCACCCAGACCAAGGUCCAGUGGGUUCCUUGGACACCUCCAGGGAUGGGGGCUCCACACCGGCCCCUUUUUGGGUGGAAAACCCAUUUUUUUUUUAAAGGAAUCAUCUCAAGGAAGCUUUGGGAAAGUGUUUUUUUGGUACAUGAUUAUUUUCUACAAAUGGCUUUUCUCUAAAUGAUUUUGGUCUUUCUCUUCCGCUGCGUUCUGAGCCUUGCAAAGCUUCAGCUUCUGGCUGCGUUGAAAACAACCAAAAAUAAACCCAGGAAGCUGCAGCGAGAACAACAAGGACCCGCCUUCCCCUAAGGCCUCCGGAAUUGUGGGAAUUCUCUUCCCUCCCGUGCCUCUUCCCGCUGCUCUUUGUCUGUGCCUUGGUGAAUUAUUCACGGAUGGAACCGGAGCCGCCUUUGAAGUCUCUGGAAUAAAAAUUCAAGGCGCAUCCCGGCGCCCUUCCUGCCUGCACUUUAUUUUUUGGAGUAAAACCGGCAUGGC